GAUGAACGCUGGCGGCGUGCCUAAUACAUGCAAGUCGAGCGAACAGAUGAGGAGCUUGCUCCUCUGACGUUAGCGGCGGACGGGUGAGUAACACGUGGAUAACCUACCAAUAAGACUGGGAUAACUUCGGGAAACCGGAGCUAAUACCGGAUAAUAUAUUGAACCGCAUGGUUCAAUAGUGAAAGACGGUUUUGCUGUCACUUAUAGAUGGAUCCGCGCCGCAUUAGCUAGUUGGUAAGGUAACGGCUUACCAAGGCAACGAUGCGUAGCCGACCUGAGAGGGUGAUCGGCCACACUGGAACUGAGACACGGUCCAGACUCCUACGGGAGGCAGCAGUAGGGAAUCUUCCGCAAUGGGCGAAAGCUUGACGGAGCAACGCCGCGUGAGUGAUGAAGGUCUUCGGAUCGUAAAACUCUGUUAUUAGGGAAGAACAAAUGUGUAAGUAACUAUGCACGUCUUGACGGUACCUAAUCAGAAAGCCACGGCUAACUACGUG
rnacentral:rRNA from 1 species